GGGCAAGUGGCGGAAUUGGUAGACGCAGCACACUCAAAAUGUGCCGACUUCGGUUGUGAGGGUUCGAGUCCCUCCUUGCCCA
rnacentral:tRNA from 1 species